ensembl:lncRNA
GUUUCAUACUGCCAUAUUUUCGGAGUAACAAAAUAUUUAAACGGUCUCAGAUCAUGGACAGUGAAGUGUCUGACACUGACUAUGUACCAGUGCCUGAGAACACUGGUAUGGAGGGGGGAGAACGCACCUCUUUACUGCAUUUGUCGGAAACCAGACAUCAACUGCUUCAUGAUCCUUUGCCAUGAUAAAUUGGUCAGUUUACAACCAGGAGCCGUACACCUUAACCUCAGAGGCCAGGACAUCCAGGGGCAGUGUGAACACACACUUCUUUAAAUGGGAUGCAAGACGGACUAUAGAGGGCCACCCCCUCGCCAGACAACCAAGUGCUGUCCCUGUCCACGGCCAGUGUGAGAAGGACUCUCACUAAAGUCAACCCACACAAAGCUGCUGGACCAGACAAUAUACCCGGACGUGUGCUCGGAGCUUGUGCUGACCAGCUGACUGAUGUCCUAGCGGGCAUCUUUAACAUCUCCCUGAGUCAAGCUGUUGUGCCAAGUGCUUUAAAACCACCACCAUCUUACCUGUACCAAAGACAGCUACAGCCUCGCAGUUCGAAGACAAUGGACGAUGCGAUCUCAUUGGCACUCCACCUAGCCCUAUCACAACUGGAUCAAUGCAACGUCCACCUAAGAAUGCUGUUCACUGAUUUCAUCUUAGCAUUCAACACCAUCAUUGCCCAGCAGCUGAUCGGCAAGCUGGACCGGCUCAGACUUAACACCUCCACCUGCAACAGGAUCCUGGUCUUUCUUACUGAUGGACCCCAGACAGUACAGGUUGGAAAUAUAAGAUCCAACACCAUCACACUGAGCACAGCCCCCCCCCCAGGGAUGUGUGCUGAGCCCGCUACUCUUCACGCUGCUGACCCACGACUGCACCUCCAGCUCCAACAUGUGAUGAGUCAAUGUUGUGAUUGUUUGUGAUUUAUGUGGGACUCCUCCCACCAAAGGAUGGCUGUGGGUUUUUUGUUUCUCUUCUCUCUCUCAGGUGUGUACACCUAGGUGUGUCUUACUGGAGUCCAGCGCCUGCUGAGUCAUUGGGUGGAAUUCAUUCCUGUUCUGGGAUUGAAUAGUUGGUUGAUCACCCCAGUAGUGAUGACAA